GCUAGAAGAGUGUAGAUCAGUAACAUAUAUGUAAUAAUUAUGUGGCAGCAAAUUUAUUAAGUACGCCUAGAGAUCCUUCCUCGACUCCCUGCGAUAAAGCAAUCUCGAAGCCAACAUUUCAAGUUAAGUCACACUUCUAGUUUUAUUAGAUCGGGAUACAACUCCAAGUCGUCCUGCUAUAGUCGACACGGCUAUUCGAAUAGUUUAAUCAUCCCUCCAGACGUGCACCACAUUUCCCAACACGC
rnacentral:lncRNA from 1 species